UAAUGGAGAGUUUGAUCCUGGCUCAGGACGAACGCUGGCGGCGUGCCUAAUACAUGCAAGUCGAGCGAGGGUCUUCGGACCCUAGCGGCGGACGGGUGAGUAACACGUAGGCAACCUGCCUGUAAGAUCGGGAUAACAUAGGGAAACUUAUGCUAAUACCGGAUAGGGUUUUGCUUCGCAUGAAACGAAACGGAAAGAUGGCGCAAGCUAUCACUUGCAGAUGGGCCUGCGGCGCAUUAGCUAGUUGGUGAGGUAA
rnacentral:rRNA from 1 species